CCCUUAGAUGUCCUGGGCCGCACGCGCGCUACACUGAUGCAUUCAACGAGUCUACCUUGGCCGAGAGGCCUGGGCAACCUUUUAAACGUGCAUCGUGAUAGGGAUAGAUUAUUGCAAUUAUUAAUCUUGAACGAGGAAUUCCUAGUAAACGCAAAUCAUCAAUUUGCAUUGAUUACGUCCCUGCACUUUGUACACACCGCCCGUCGCACCUACCGAUUGGAUGGUCCGGUGAGGACUCGGGAUUUUUACCAGUUUCCUUCAUUGGGAAUUGGUGAGGAGAACUUGUCCAAACCUUAUCAUUUAGAGGAAGGUGAAGUCGUAACA
rnacentral:rRNA from 1 species